rnacentral:rRNA from 1 species
ACUCCUACGGGAGGCAGCAGUGGGGAAUAUUGCACAAUGGGCGCAAGCCUGAUGCAGCCAUGCCGCGUGUGUGAAGAAGGCCUUCGGGUUGUAAAGCACUUUCAGUCGUGAGGAAGGUAGUGUAGUUAAUAGCUGCAUUAUUUGACGUUAGCGACAGAAGAAGCACCGGCUAACUCCGUGCCAGCAGCCGCGGUAAUACGGAGGGUGCGAGCGUUAAUCGGAAUUACUGGGCGUAAAGCGCACGCAGGCGGCUUGUUAAGCUAGAGGUGAAAGCCCCGCGCUCAACGUGGGAACUGCCUUUAGAACUGGCAGGCUAGAGUCUUGGAGAGGGGAGUGGAAUUCCAGGUGUAGCGGUGAAAUGCGUAGAUAUCUGGAGGAACAUCAGUGGCGAAGGCGGCUCCCUGGCCAAAGACUGACGCUCAUGUGCGAAAGUGUGGGUAGCGAACAGGAUUAGAUACCCUGGUAGGACAGUG